rnacentral:rRNA from 1 species
UAGCCAAAGGGCAUUUGGUGGAUGCCUUGGCGCACACAGGCGAUGAAGGACGUGAUACGCUGCGUUAAGUCACGGGGAGCUGCGAAUAAGCUUUGAUCCGUGAAUUUCCGAAUGGGGGAACCCACCGCUUCGGCGGUAUCAUAUAGUGAAUACAUAGCUAUAUGAGGCGAACCUGGGGAACUGAAACAUCUAAGUACC